rnacentral:tRNA from 1 species
CCCGUGCUACCUGUAGCUCACUUAG